rnacentral:rRNA from 1 species
AGUGAACGCUGGCGGUAGGCCUAACACAUGCCAGUCGAACGGCAGCACAGUAAGAGCUUGCUCUUACGGGUGGCGAGUGGCGGACGGGUGAGGAAUACAUCGGAAUCUACUUUUUCGUGGGGGAUAACGUAGGGAAACUUACGCUAAUACCGCAUACGACCUACGGGUGAAAGCAGGGGAUCUUCGGACCUUGCGCGAUUGAAUGAGCCGAUGUCGGAUUAGCUAGUUGGCGGGGUAAAGGCCCACCAAGGCGACGAUCCGUAGCUGGUCUGAGAGGAUGAUCAGCCACACUGGAACUGAGACACGGUCCAGACUCCUACGGGAGGCAGCAGUGGGGAAUAUUGGACAAUGGGCGCAAGCCUGAUCCAGCCAUACCGCGUGGGUGAAGAAGGCCUUCGGGUUGUAAAGCCUUUUUGUUGGGAAAGAAAAGCAGCAGGUUAAUACCCCGCUGUUCUGACGGUACCCAAAGAAUAAGCACCGGCUAACUUCGUG